AUGGAGGACGGCGACAUCACGGCCAGGGCCAAGCGCAUCGUCGAGCUCAAGAGAGAUGGGCACAUCGCGGCGUCGCUGGAGAAGGCCGAAGCCCUCGCCGCGGAGCACCCUAGGUCCCUCACCGCCGUCUGCCUCCAGGGGGACCUCCACUAUUCCGCCGCCAUCGGCGCCCGCGCGGCUACCGCGGGCUCGGAGGAGGAGCCGGCCGACGCGGAGUCGCACCUCCGUCGAGGUCGCGACGCGCUCUUGAUGGCGAAGUCGCUCGCCCCCGACAACGCCGACAUCGCAGUCGCGUUAGCUGACCUCCUCGCCGAGUCGUCGAUGUACCUCGAGGCAGAGGCGGAGCUGCGUCGCGCUAUGGACAUGGACGCCGCAGCAGCGCCCAAGUCCUCCCAGAGCCCAGUCUCCUCCACUCCGCGCGAGAGGAGGCAGUCCUAUGAAAGGGUGAUCAAUCGUCUAGUUGCGCAUGAGGCAGGGAGGCUCAUGGACGUCGCCAAGAGCGACGACGUUGCUGCAAAGCGCAAGCUGCAGGCGCUGCAGGCGCUGAAGGAAGCAAGGGAUCUCGCCAAGCGCUUCCCGGGCUCGGCGCGUGCACGGUUAUUGGGCCCCUUCCUAGAGCUCGAGUAUAUGCUUGCCGCUUCCCGGGAGCAUAAGGAUCCUGCCUGGAGCAAAGGCUUGGAACGCCUUGUCUGCGAUGCAGUAGGAGCAGCCAAGGAAUUCCCCAAUUCUACCGCUGCUGCUUUGUUUCAGGCGCGACUUCUGUUCGUUUGUGGCAAUCACAUUGAUGCAGAGGGCGAGUGCCACCGAGCCCUUGCACUGAAGCACCCUACAGACCCGGUGGAAGAUUGCAUUCCGACUGGGUCCAUCAGAGGACAGGAUUCUCAAAGCAGGUUGAGUUCGGUCACCGGGCUGUUCCAUGAUUUACUUGACAAGAUCCUGCAGUUUGCUGAAUCAUUCUGGGAAAACUGUUUGACAUCUGAGAAGAGGCAGAGUUUCUUGUCCGUGAGAAUUGAUGCGCUAGAGAACGAAUGCAGGAUGGUUGAACACUCGUAUGAUUUCAGUGUAUCAAGCGCUUGUAGCUUCUUCAAGGAGCAUAAGUCUUGGAGGUCCUGGGUGUGUCUCCUGUGCAGUGCAAAGCAUACAAGCACUAGAUCGCUCCUGAAGCACAUGGUGAAGAAACAUUCACGGUCAGUAUUGCGGAGGCUACUGGACAUUGUAGAUCCGACAGUUGAGCCAGAGAGCGAUUGUCUCCUGGAAGGCUUGUUGUUGUGCAAGGACUCGGAGAAUCAUGAUACCAUCUGCUUCAAAGAAAGGGAUGAGAUGUUCAGAUUACUUUUCUUGGAACCGAACCGUGGAGAAGUAGCAAAGCCAGUGGACAAAUUUCAUCAAGACCAGCAGAGCCAAGGAACUCUACUCCUGGAGAACAUCAAGAAGAACAUGGCGAAUUUGCCUACGCAUAAAUCCACAACAUAUGAGUCAAGUAACCUGCAAGAAAUCAGAGAGUUCUGGCUUCAGUUCCUCAAAUGUGCUGUUCUGAACUAUGGAAAAUCCAUCGUGACACUGGCGCACUCAUAUCUUUGGGAUGAAUUUAGAAAAUGUAUGGCUGGAGAUGGAGAAGCCCUACGUCAAAAGAUGUCUGCGGAUGAUAUUGAGACCACCUUUUCCACUCACAGUGUUGUUGAUAAAGAGACAAUGAAAGAGGAAGUGCUCUAUCAAACAGAGCCUAUCUGCUCCAAGCAUGGCCACGGUGAACCAUGUGUCGGUGUCAUCGUUGACAAGAUCUUACAAUUAUGGGACAAGGCAGAAGAUCACCAGCAACAACUGCUAUCUCUAGCCAACGCAGUGUGCAGAACCUUGGAGGAUGACAAUUGCUUUGACGAGCGGCAGGACAAAAGCAAGCAUGUAUCUGAUAUUACAGUAGCCAUUCUUAAUGGACUACACUUGCCAGAUGUUUGUUUACAUCUUGGAAUCGUGUCUGAUACCAUGAGGCCAGAAACGAAAGCUUUUGUUUGCAAGUAUCAUGACCCUCUUGAUCUGAAGCCCAUGAGGCCAAUGGGCUGUGGUUGCAAAACAUGUUCACCUGGAGAACUUUGUGCAGAUCCAAGCAAGCUCGAGCACAUAUGCAAACAGUGCAGUUCUGCUGCUCUGAAGGACCCAUACUCAGCUGUUGUCAUACAUUGGCCAAUGAAGAUGGAAGUUCAGCAAUCACUGGCGGAAAUAUGGGAUGAUACUCUUCAACCUCUAAUGACAUUUCAGUACAACCAUGGCACAAUAUUUUACGGCUUAGCCGCAAUGAUAUGCUAUGUGGACAAUGAGCCCAUUGGCAUUGCUCGAUGUGAAAGUGGAUGGGUCAUGUUUGAUGCAUGCAGAGAAAUCAACAGGUGUGAAGGGCCCUGGGAGGAUUUGCUUGCUAUGUGCAGGGACGGCACUCCGGCAAUUCUAUUUUACAAGGUAGUCCAGGUUGCCCUAGACCUGUUCCUAGCUCGUGUGCUCUGUAUUCGCAUCCCAUGUCCUUCACCUGAAGAUUGA
rnacentral:rRNA from 1 species